CCUACGGGUGGCAGCAGUGGGGAAUAUUGCACAAUGGGGGAAACCCUGAUGCAGCGACGCCGCGUGAGUGAAGAAGUAUUUCGGUAUGUAAAGCUCUAUCAGCAGGGAAGAAAAUGAUGGGACUUGACUAAGAAGCCUCGGCUAACUACGGGCCAGCAGCCGCGGUAAUACGUAGGGGGCAAGCGUUAUCCGGAUUUACUGGGGGUAAAGGGAGCGUAGACGGUGAUGCAAGUCCGAAGUGAAAGCCCGGGGCGCAACUCCGGGACUGCUGUUGACACUGUGUGACUGGAGUGCAGGAGAGGUAAGCGGAAUUCCUGGUGUAGCGGUGAAAUGCGUAGAUAUCAGGAGGAACACCAGUGGCGAAGGCGGCUUACUGGACUGUAACUGACGUUGAGGCUCGAAAGCGUGGGGAGCAAACAGGAUUAGAUACCCGGGUAGUC
rnacentral:rRNA from 1 species